AUGCGUGCGCGUAUUCGGGACGCACGACGGAGCGAGCUCACAACCGCCGUCAGAAUCAAAAUUUUUGCUUGGCGGCUAGCCAAGACAUCGAUCCCCACAGGCGAGGUGAGGAAGGAGAGGAAGAUGACGGACUCGGCGGCUUGCCCACUUUGCCAAGCGACAGUGGAUACGUGGAGACACUCUCUGUUUGAUUGCCAUAUGUCACGUUGUGUCUGGGCUCUGGCUGAUGAGGAACUGAUAGAAGUAAUGAUCUCAAACCAAAUAGAGGAUGCUCGUUUGUGGAUGUUCUGGCUACUGGAUACUCUAAAAGAGCAACAAGUUGUUCAGAUUUUGAUCACAAUGUGGGCCAUAUGGUGGGCGCGGCGCCGUGCUAUCCAUGAUGAGCAGUACCAAAGCCCCUUGAGCACUUCGGUUUUCAUCAACAAAUUUCUGUCCGAUCUUGAUUGCAUGGCUGUGCACAAGACACGCAUGAGGGACUUGCAUGCAAAGCCAAAGGACCUGCAUGUAACAGCGGGAAACUCGAGGACCAGAGCGACAUCACCUGGUUGGCUUCCUCCAACCGAUGCAAAAGCGAAGCUAAACAUUGAUGGAGGCGUGUCCAAAUCAGGUAGAAGGGGUGCAGCAGCUGUGGUCUGUCGUGACAGGGCGGGAGCUUUUCUUGGAGCCUCAGCCAGAGUUUUUGAGGGUCUCACGGAUCCGCCCUCGCUGGAAGCACAAUCAUGCAAUGAAGCCCUUGCUUUGGCGAUGGAUCUCAACCUCAACUCUAUAUGCGUGGCCUUGGAUUGUGCUGUUGUUAUUUCCAUGAUAGGCUCAGAUGUCCCCUGCCAAAACGAGCCCCGUGACUGCUCGACUUCUCCGGCGAGCCACGCGGUGCUCGGGGGUUCCGGCGGACGAGGAGGGGGAGCGCCGCGAGCGGGAGUCCACCCCAGGAGGCUACUGCGUACGCGGGCGGGAUACCCGCCGCGCCGGAGCAGAGGGCAAAGGAGUGGCAUCAACCAGCGGCGACGGCAAGCGCCAGGAUCCGCGGAGGCCGAUGUAGCUCAGCUCUUCUGGCCUCCGCCUGUCGGGCAUUCCACGGAGCGCGGCGGCCGGCGGCCACCGACCAACGGAGGAAGCGCGCCGUCGCUGGCCGGCGGCGAGGGGCGCAUGGCGGAACGGCGGCGGCGGAGGCAGGAGCACUUCCUCCACGCGCGCCGUACUCCGCACGGCAACAGGGCAGGUGCGCGCGCGGCGCGCGUGGGCCCCACCCGCUGUGGCUCGUCGAGCGGGCCCGGUGGCACGCGCCCGGGCCGUUGGAUCGGCCACAGCUGGCACUGGCGGCGAUCCAACGGCUCAGGACGCUCGCACGCGCGCGACGGGGGCGAAGGGAAGGAAAGGAAAGGAGACGACGGAGGCCGCGGGUGCUUUAUUUGCUGCGCCUGCGCCCGCCUGCAAACUCUGCUCUGCUCUGCUGCACAACCGCCCCGCUUUUGA
rnacentral:rRNA from 1 species